AUUGAACGCUGGCGGCGUGCUUAACACAUGCAAGUCGAUCGGUAACGCGGGGGCAACCCUGGCGACGAGAGGCGGACGGGUGAGGAACGCUUGGGAAUCUGCCCUUCAGCGGGGGACAACCCGGGGAAACUCGGGCUAAUACCGCAUACGCUCCACGGAGGAAAGCCGGGGACCGCAAGGCCUGGCACUGAAGGAUGAGCCCAAGCCGGAUUAGCUAGUUGGCGGGGUAACGGCCCACCAAGGCGACGAUCCGUAGCUGGUCUGAGAGGACGAUUAGCCACACCGGAACUGAGACACGGUCCGGACUCCUACGGGAGGCAGCAGUGGGGAAUAUUGGACAAUGGGGGAAACCCUGAUCCAGCGACGCCGCGUGGGUGAAGAAGGCCUGCGGGUUGUAAAGCCCUUUCGGUAGGGACGAAAGCUCUUGCCUUAAUACGGCAGGAGGUUGACUUAGCCUACAUAAGAAGCACCGGCUAACUCUGUGCCAGCAGCCGCAGUAA
rnacentral:rRNA from 1 species